rnacentral:ncRNA from 1 species
AUUAAACUGAUGAAUAAGAGUAGUAUUCUAGAAUAAUAUGUUUUCAGAGAGUCGUGGUUGGUGGAAUGCGAUAACAUCUAUCUAGUUGAAUGGACUUAUGAAGGCAGUCUGAAAGGAUUUUUUCUGAGUAGGCACUGACGGGAACUCGACCCGUUAUAAAUAGAGCGUAUAUUAUUAUGUAUAUGAAAUGAGUGGGUAAUUUUUUACCAAUUUGGGUGGUAUCGCAGGACUAUAGGCUCUUGUCCCUUUU